CGGGGCAUGGCGCAGUCUGGUAGCGCACCUGCUUUGGGAGCAGGGAGUCGGGGGUUCAAAUCCCUCUGCCCCGACCA
rnacentral:tRNA from 5 species